CGCGGAGUGGAGCAGUUGGUAGCUCGUCGGGCUCAUAACCCGAAGGCCGUAGGUUCAAGUCCUGCCUCCGCAACCA
rnacentral:tRNA from 1 species